AUUGAACGCUGGCGGCAGGCUUAACACAUGCAAGUCGAACGAGUGGCGGACGGGUGAGUAAUGCUUGGGAAUCUAGCUUAUGGAGGGGGAUAACUACGGGAAACGGUAGCUAAUACCGCAUACCAUAGGAUGCGCCCAAGGGGGAUUAGCUAGUUGGUGUGGUAAAGGCUAACCAAGCCGACGAUCCCUAGCUGGUCUGAGAGGAAGACCAGCCACACUGGGACUGAGACACGGCCCAGACUCCUACGGGAGGCAGCAGUUGGGAAUAUUGCACAAUGGGCGCAAGCCUGAUGCAGCCAUGCCGCGUGUAUGAAGAAGGCCUUCGGGUUGUAAAGUACUUUCGGUAGCGAGGCGUUAACGACAGAAGAAGCACCGGCUAACUCCGUGCCAGCAGCCGCGGUAAUAC
rnacentral:rRNA from 1 species